UGGGUAACCUGCCUCAAAGAGGGGAAUAGCCUCCCGAAAGGGAGAUUAAUACCGCAUAAUAUGUUUAAGUCGCAUGACUUUAACAUCAAAGGAUUUUCUUUUAGAAAUUCCACUUUGAGAUGGACCCGCGGCGCAUUAGCUAGUUGGUGAGGUAACGGCUCACCAAGGUAACGAUGCGUAGCCGACCUGAGAGGGUNAUCGGCCACAUUGGGACUGAGACACGGUCCAGACUCCUACGGGAGCAG
rnacentral:rRNA from 1 species